rnacentral:rRNA from 1 species
UACAGAGGUCUCAAGCGUUGUUCGGAUUCAUUGGGCGUAAAGGGUGCGUAGGUGGCGUGGUAAGUCGGGUGUGAAAUUUCGGAGCUUAACUCCGAAACUGCAUUCGAUACUGCUGUGCUUGAGGACUGCAGAGGAGACUGGAAUUCCCGGUGUAGCGGUGAAAUGUGUAGAGAUCGGGAGGAACACCGGUGGCGAAGGCGGGUCUCUGGGCAAUUCCUGACGCUGAGGCGCGAAAGCGUGGGGAGCAAACGGG